UAUGUCAAAGGUGUUUGCCCAGGUUUUGAAGGAGUUAAAAAUUAAACAUCAAAGGUCCAGCCCUUAUCACCCAGAGAGUCAAGGUGCACUGGAACGAUUUCAUCAAACCCUAAAAACCAUGUUGCGCAAAUACUGCCUUGAAUCAGGUAAAGACUGGGAGGAGGGACUUCCACUUCUGCUUUUUGCUGUUAGAGAAGCCACCCAGGAAUCCCUUGGAUUUAGUCCGGCUGACUUAGUUUUUGGACACACUGUGCGCGGUCCCCUGCGACUGCUUAAAGAAAAGUGGUUAUCAGAGUCGCAUCAAGCCGAACAUAAUGUGUUAGAUUACGUUUGCAGUUUUAGAGAGCGUCUUUUCCGGGCAUGUCAGCUGGCCCGUGAAAAUUUGGAACAAACCCAAGGCAACAUGAAAGCCCGGUGCUCCUCCGUGGUUGGUGCAUCCAGGGUGGAUGGCUCGCACCGAUUGGCUGACGACCGGGAGGCAGCGGAUGAGAAGAGACCACCAGGGACUGCCAUUCAUUCAUCCUCGGCCCAACCCAACCGGCAGACCGUUCACUGUGUCACUGUUACUAUGUUGGUUAAUGUAAGAGCAUGUAGGGGUGGACCGCCUUUUUGUUUGAUCAGUUUUCUCCUGUUUCUGUUAGGUAGGGAGGAAAGUGAUUGUCGUUUGGUUUAGUUCUUUUGAGUAGGUAAGUUGUGUUUAUUCCUGAGAUAGGCUAUCUUUUGUUUGUUGUUUUGGCCUUGGGUUCACCCUGAAGUUAUGAUAUGCUCCCUUCCUUUGUUUAACUGCACUCAUUGUAAAUAAAUCACUGUCACAAAAUAUUAAGUGUGUGACGUGCUGCUUGGGGUUGGACGGGGAUGGAUCACCCUUUAUGUUGUGGUCUGGCCGCGCCUAGACGGGCCAUAACACUGAAUCUUUGAGAUGAUUAAACUUAAUCUAAGUCUGGUGUGACUUUUGAGAACAUAAGGGUAAUGGUGUUACUUUGUCUCUGUUAGAGCUCCCCCUGCUGGUCAGGGUGGCAGCAAAAAAAACAUUUUUUGCAAGAGCUUUGUAAACACUGGCAAUCCCACGUCUCCCAAACUGCCUACCACCUCAUUUAUUUCAAGCAUCGGCUUAUUAAUUAUCUCUCUGUUAGUCUCUACAUCCUUCCUAUAUCCGUUAUGUGA